UGCUGUGAGAGGUUGAAGCUGCCAGCAUGAUCUGGCUGCUCAGACGCCGGCGGGCGUCUCGAGUGCUCGCUCGAUCGUCGGUGACGCUUGGAUUCACCAGAUCAUGUUGCAGCUUCACUCUCUCGCAGC
rnacentral:pre_miRNA from 7 species